UUCUGGGGGCUGCUCCCCAUUAGGGAAAGAGCAGGUUUCAGGGAAGAAGCAGUCAGCUCUGAAAGCCCAGCUCUCCACUUUACGUGGAGGGCACUGUCAUACAACCAUGUAAGGCCAUCAGAAAUCAAGCUCACAGCUGAAAAUACCAGCUCCCACACUUGGAAAAAGUAGCGAUAGGUGUUGAGGCAAUGGUGACAAAUUCCAUUUUAGAGAGCUGACAGAGCAGCGUGUCUCAGCAGAACCUCACCGAAUGAAUCGCAGCCGCUCUGUGGUGUCUGACGUUACGUGGUGGAAAGCUGAACUGCUCAGGUUGGGUUUUACAGGACGGAUGCUGACCUGCUCCCUUAUCAGCUCAGCAGCUUAUCACAGCCCAUGAACAGACCUGAAAGGAUGUGCACAGCAAGCACAGGCUAUGAGAUAAUGGCAUGUCCUGGAGUGGAAUAACCAGGUUUGGUGCUUCCAAACAAGAAACCCUCCAAGACCAUCCUUGUGGCUGAAAGGAGCCAUCUGUACCCAUCACUGCCUUUGUGGGGACGUUCCUAAAGAACACCAAGCACAAAGAAACAGCUCUCUGUCUCCAU